rnacentral:rRNA from 1 species
CGUACGAUCACGGAUGUUAAGCAACGUCGAGCCUGGUCAGUACCUAGAUGGGUGACCGCUUGGGAAUACCAGGUAG